rnacentral:rRNA from 1 species
AACGAACGCUGGCGGCAGGCUUAACACAUGCAAGUCGAACGCCCCGCCAGGGGAGUGGCCGACGGGUGAGUAACGCGUGGGAACAUACCCUUUUCUACGGAAUAGCUCCGGGAAACUGGAAUUAAUACCGUAUACGCCCUACGGGGGAAAGAUUUAUCGGGGAAGGAUUGGCCCGCGUUGGAUUAGCUAGUUGGUGGGGUAAAGGCCUACCAAGGCGACGAUCCAUAGCUGGUCUGAGAGGAUGAUCAGCCACAUUGGGACUGAGACACGGCCCAAACUCCUACGGGAGGCAGCAGUGGGGAAUAUUGGACAAUGGGCGCAAGCCUGAUCCAGCCAUGCCGCGUGAGUGAUGAAGGCCUUAGGGUUGUAAAGCUCUUUCACCGAUGAAGAUAAUGACGGUAGUCGGAGAAGAAGCCCCGGCUAACUUCGUG